rnacentral:rRNA from 1 species
UACGUAGGGGGCAAGCGUUGUCCGGAUUUAUUGGGCGUAAAGAGCGUGUAGGCGGCCAAGCAGGUCCGCUGUGAAAACUCGAGGCUCAACCUCGAGACGUCGGUGGAAACCGUUUGGCUAGAGUCCGGAAGAGGAGAGUGGAAUUCCCGGUGUAGCGGUGAAAUGCGCAGAUAUCGGGAAGAACACCCGUGGCGAAGGCGGGGUCUCUGGGCAGUAACUGACGCUGAGGAGCGAAAAGCGUGGGGAGCAAACGGGG